rnacentral:rRNA from 1 species
UACGAGGGGUGCAAGCGUUGCUCGGAAUUAUUGGGCGUAAAGGGUAGGUAGGUGGUCUCAUUUGUCUGGGGUGAAAGCCUUGAGCUUAACUCAAGAAGUGCCCCGGAAACGGUGAGACUAGAGUCCUGGAGAGGGUCGUGGAAUUCCCGGUGUAGCGGUGAAAUGCGUAGAGAUCGGGAGGAGCACCAGAGGCGAAGGCGGCGACCUGGACAGGCACUGACACUCAACUACGAAAGCGUGGGGAGCAAACAGG